UGAAAGUGGAUCCAUGCCAUAUGCGUAUAUUCACUACCCUUUUGAAAAUGUUAAACUCUUUGAGAACAAUUUUCCUGGGCAUUUUGUGGCUGAAGGGCUUGACCAAACCCGAGGAUGGUUCUAUACCCUCAGGUCUUGUCUACUGCACUGUUUGGAAAACCUGCUUUUAGAAAUCUUAUUUGCAAUGGACUUGUCCUGGCUGAGGAUGGAAAGAAGAUGAGUAAGAGACUGAAGAACUAUCCGCAACCUACG